CCAGCUUCCUUUGCCAUAUGGCUUAGAUCAAGUGUAGUAUCUGUUCUUUCUAGUUUAAACCCUAGAACCGCCCUUAUCGGGGGCACACCGUUACGGUUUACUCUUAUUUUUGCAUUACAGGGCCGACGAUGUAAGUCGCUCACUGAGCUUGCUCAUAGCGCCAUCGUGGUCCAAAGUGUCGCUCCUCUCACACUACCGGGGGUGUACGCGAGUUUUU
rnacentral:snRNA from 1 species